GUCCACGCCGUAAACGAUGAGUGCUAGGCGCCGGAGGAUUGACCCCGUCGGUGCCGCAGCUAACGCGUUAAGCACUCCGCCUGGGGAGUACGGUCGCAAGACUAAAACUCAAAGGAAUUGACGGGGGCCCCGCACAAGCGGUGGAGCAUGUGGUUUAAUUCGACGCUACGCGCAGAACCUUACCUGGGUUAAAUCCACCAGAACCUGGCCCAAAAGCCGGGGUGCCCUUCGGGGAAUUGGUGCGAAGGUGCUGCAUGGCUGUCGU
rnacentral:rRNA from 1 species